ACAUUACUGAAGAUCAGUGGUCUUCAGCGUCUUUUAGGCCAGGGACCCCUAAGCUGAAAGAGAGACUGAGUAGGGACCCCCUACCACAUGUAUUGCACACAAUUGAGUUGCAUGAACUGGAUGGAAAGAAAUGGAUAUUAUUGAUGCAUCCUGUUUCAAUGUUAAACAUCCAUCUGGAAGGCACAGUGACUCCUUAAGCUUAACU